rnacentral:tRNA from 1 species
ACAAGCGGGGUUAAAGGUAGACUUUUCGCUUUCCACCCGAAAUGUGUCAGUUCGAUUCUGACUACCCGUA